rnacentral:rRNA from 1 species
GACUGUACAAAGGUAGCAUAAUCACUUGUCUUUUAAUUGAAGUCUAGAAUGAAAGGUUUGAUGAAAAAUGGACUUUCUUUAUUUUAUAUAUGGAAUUUAAUUUUUUAGUUAAAAAGCUAAAAUUUUCUUAUAGGACGAGAAGACCCUAUAGAACUUUAUUUUUGAGUUUAUAUAUUUUAUUUGGUUAAAUGAUUUAAAUAUAUAUAUGUCGAAUUUUGUUGGGGUGACAGAAAAAAUAUAAUAACUUUUUCUAUUUUUUUCAUUAUUCAUGGGUUUUUGAUCCUUUUCUAGGGAUGAAAGAUUAAGUUACCUUAGGGAUAACAGCGUUAUUAUUUUGGAGAGUUCAUAUCGAUAAAAUAGUUUGCGACCUCGAUGUUGGAUUAUAAUAAGAUAUGGGGGUAGAAUAUCAUAUUCUGGGUCUGUUCGACCUUUAAAUUUUUACA